GGAGCACCCAGUUUCUACUUCCGGUCACUCCUUACACAGCCUACACAGGAACAUCCGGCGUGUUUGCUCUGGUCGUCACAGCACCGGUUCCUCGGGCGCGCGCCCUUAGUCCUGGGGCCGCUUCUCCCCCGGACGCGUGCGAAGGCGGACUGGGUUCCGCUGCGGUCUCCACGGGAGCCACCGGUCCUGAAAGCGCGGAGCAUGCUUUGUUUGCGGAAACGAAAGCGAAUACUUCUUUCCAAGGAGACUUAGGAAAGGGCAGACGCUCCCACUGCCUCAGGUGUUCCCUGGAGGACCUUCAAGUGGCCGCCGUGUGGGCGGGCUAGCGUCCCGCUGCUGCGCUGGUUCCGGAGCCCUUCCCUUGCCUCUCCCAGGGUCCUUCUCCCAGCGUCGGAGGAAGGCCCGCAGUCUGCGAGUGGAGUGCGGGUGGUGGGAAUCCCUGGGAGGAUUACGAAAUCCUUAAAGUGGGAUUUACCAAACGCAUUCCUUUCCGCUCACUUCCGUUCCCGCUUAACAAACGUGUUGGAAACGUGUUGCUACUGAAAGGAAGUGGCGCUGGGCUGCAUUUUCUGUGGCUAGUCUGCGAGAAACAGCCCUGGAAUAGGGCCUCUAUUUCUUCCUUGGAGCAUCCCUCCCCGGGACCUGGGAGUUGAAACUCUAGGCUAAAGCAACUGAAGCAGGCCCAGGACUGGGUCUCUGAAAUUCAUGGUGUCUCUACGCUGAGUUAAACUAAGUUUUUCAGAAAAUGUCUAACUAGGCUAAAGACCUUGUGCUUCAGAGUGUUUUGAGAGGAGAGUUUGGGGAAAAGGGCUCUCUCUAGAAGGUAAAUUUGUAUGGGAGAUGGGGAGUGUGUGUUUACACGGAGUAUCGGGCGUCUUUCUUAUGGGUGGACAUUGUGGAUAAGAAUGAGAUAUUAAGGCAGAAUUAGCUGGGCUUUUAAUCCCAAACAGUGUUUUAAAAAUAAAAACUAUAUAUUUAAGGUGUACAACAUGAUGUUUUGAUACAUGUACACAGUGAAAUGAUUUCUACAGUCAAGCUAAUUAACAUAAUACAUCUCUUCACAGUUACUAUUUUGUGUAAGUGGUGAGAGCGCAUGAAAUGUACUCUCCGCAAGUUUCCAAUGCACAAUGCAGUAUUAACUAUAGUUAUGCUAUGCAUUACAUCUCUAGACUUAUUCAUCCUAUAGAACUGCAACUUUGUAUCCUUUGACCAACAUCUUAACCAUUUCCAUACGUCUCCACCCCUG
rnacentral:lncRNA from 1 species